ensembl:lncRNA
ACUGAUCUGGGCUGUGGUGAAAGAAACACAUACACUCCAAAGACUUUUUUGAGUAUUUUACUCCAAGGGUACAUGCAGGUGGGAUAUGGAGGGAUCAGUCACACCUGGCCUGGGGAAGUCAGCAUCCAGAACAGUCUGCACUUGGCUGAAAAUGAGACAGUUGCCAGAGCCAUGGCUCAGGACAGGCGAGUCUCACAGCAGGACUGACGUGUCCAAAAGGUAAGCACACAGAACUUCCUCCUGACAUCAGAUGAUGAAGAUGGGCACGAAUCCAAAUUGUCUUCUAUGUACCUAAAAUGCAACUUGGGCAAAAUGUACAUGCAUACGGAAAGUCAUUCAGAAAAUCCUGCCCAUCUUCAUUAGGCACCUCCCAGGCACGUACACUGCUAGAUGAGACUUCCUGAGGUACCCAGUACUGUCCUACUGCAUGAAUACAGCAAGCCCUAUCCAGAGCCUGAUCAAGUGAACAGGAGCACAGCCUUUCUGUGAGGCUGGGCCCUCCCUACUUUAUACCCUGCUGAUCAGAACUAAGGAGGUCUACUGAGUGCACAGGACCAGAAUGCAGAACCACUCUGGAUUUUGACAACGACUGAGAUUCCCCGCAGCUUGCUUUCUGGGGCACAUGGUACUAGCUAGAAGCUUCUGAACCUGAAGCUGUGUAGUUGCAUUAGCUCAGGAUCAGCUUACAAUAAAGAAGUUCCCCACCUGCUUGGAAAAAGGACAAAAUAGGCUCACCUCCAUUUGCAAAAUACCACGUUAGCACAGUCUCAUACACUCUGGGCUUCAGCAUUUGCAGCCACUUCCUUUCAAAAGCAAUAACUUCUGUCUGCCUUUUGUGCAAUUGCCUGGCAGCUGGAACUCUCUGGGAAAUAAAAGUUUUCUGUUCUUUUUAGCCUAGAGUUUGAAAGUCUGUUAAGGGGACUCUCAUUGAGAGUUAAGAGGUAGCAGGGGAGAAGACCACAUCAUACUUCAUAGUGAAGUUAGCCAUGGUGCACAUGAAAAGUCGGGAGUCAUGGAACUAAACAGAGCAAAGGCAAGCUACUGCUUUUGCAUUGCAUGUAGACAGGCAUAGUGUGAAAACCAGGGUUCAGAACUUCCCAUUCUCAGUGGGAAUACUCAUUACCUGUGCCACUCAAAACAGUCCUUUCUACUUCCUCUGACUACAUGAGCUAUGACUUGUGGACUACAUAGCGACCCAGCUGAUACUGAGAAAACAAAAGCAUUCUCAUUCUCGCUCUCACCUUAAUCCUUCUGACGAGAACACCUUCUCUGUAUGGGUGUAGAGUCUGCUGAGAUGGUUUGGGAGUCCCAUUUCUGGGGCACAAAGUGAAGAGAUACUUGUCUCAAAAUGCGCGUCUUAGGUAGCUAAGGCCAGGAGAAGGAGCUUAGUUCAGAAGCUGAUGUUCGAGACAUACUUGACUGCAGCUCUGAUGAGGAUCAAAACUCCCUGGAUGGAAUUUCCUAUUAGCUCCAAAGGCAGGUCGCUUAGUUUGCUGUGAGCAUUCUGAGCGCGUUUACAUUCAUGCGUAUAGAUGGACAGGUCUGUUCUGUCCACAGUCCAGGCCACAUGGAUAUAUGGUAUUCUGGUCCAGGAGAUAAGGCUUGUUAGCUCAAGCUCAGUGCUGAAGCUGUACAGUCACAUAGCUGUGGGAUUGCAGCUAGGUCACCAGAUGUGGCAAGAGCUGGCAUGUCUCAAUGCACUCAUCUACGCAUGAUUGCUUUCUAAGUGCUGUCAAUGUGUAGGGAAUUUGAGCUUUAUCUACUUGCACAUUUUGUCAGAACUCACCCCAAGCUUGUGACCUAACUCAGGAUUUUUUUCAUUGCUGAUCUUAAAAGUCAGAUUGCACACUCUAGGCUGGAUCUUCAAAUUGUGGGGUCAGUGGAGAGGCAGUAUGUACGGCCACACUCAAGAACUGUUGAAGGCUGGCUGUUAGAACAAGCAAACUGAACACUGUGGCUUAGACUGACCUUUGCCCAGGUUAUAAUGGGCUCUUUUAACAGCCAUUUAACCAGUGUCCUGAAAAAGCAGGCUGACUGAUGACAUGAAGUGAGAGGUCAGAGUGUGCCACUCUGAGUAUGCUUCUCCUCCCAAGAUUAGCAGUCUUUCCUCCAGUCACUCAGUGAUAUCCAAGUACAGCUCUCUCCCACCAUUCACUGCCUCCCCUUCCUUCUUAUGGCCAGAGUGGCCCUGGAGACUUGCUCUGCUUUCUCUCUCUUGGGGCAACGAAACCAUAUUCUGGGAUGUUCUCAAGGCACCUCUUGGUCUUUCCCAUGCACAGUGUGGUAUGCUGUCACAUGCCAAAUGUACCAGUCUCAUGGAAGCUCAGGCUGACAGACAGAACUAAGUAUCUGAAUGGCACUGCUAAGAAAACAGUGCAAAGAAACAACAUCUCAAGGCUGCUCCUCAGCACACAGUCACCACUUCAUUGCUGAUACAGGUUGACUGCCUGGGUUCUCCGUCCUUGCUUCAAUUCUGGGGACAGUGCAACCCAUUUCACCGCCAGCCUGCCUGACUUUGUCCUGAAGAGAAAGAGGAACACUCUUCCUGUCAGGUGGUAGUAUAACAAGCAAGACCAACUGAGAAGUGGUUUAAAAAACCAUCCCUUACUACCUCUUGACUGAUAGUUUGUGCUUUCCAGUGGAGAUUUAUGCCUGAGUACAUGUCUUUUUGAUCGUAGCUCCAGGAGGGUCACAAAGCUCAUCAGGGUAGAUCCAUAGGCAAACAUCCAGUGUACACAGAGCUUUAGCUGUCUUACUCAGCACAGUGAAUUUUGAUUCAAGAGCUAAGCAUCUCCUUCCAGGUAACUAAGCUGGCACAACAGCACUGAGGAUGGCUAUCAGACAAGCUCUUCUGACUUCUCCUGAUCAGGGUUAAGAUGUGGCUGCACUCAUUCAUCUCCAGAAGUUUGCCCCCUUUCUCACUUUCCUUUGAGUUUACUGUCCAACCAGUUUUGCAAUUUAACUCUUUGUCUGCAUCUUGACAGCUGUUUCCAUAAGGUGAUUCAGAUUGAAAAAGAAGAGCUUUUGAAGCUGGCCUCUUCUGCACAGAUCCUUGCUGUAUCCCAGAUAAUCUACAAAGGGAACACAGAGUGCAGCAUUAAAGGAUGGGGAGCACUGCAAGGCAGCCUGCUAUAGCUUUCUGUUUCUGGGAUUCAUGAUGUACUUUAACAGGUCAGCUACAGCCCCCAUGGGGUCGCUUGGAAAGGAAGAGAGAAAAUGCAAAAAUACCUCAAUUGCACCCCUACUCUGCCUCUACUAGACUCCUCUAAACAGGUUGUGUGGGAACAGAUGGCAUAGGAAUUGGCUCUGUCAGCUUUGUACGAGCUGGGAACUUCCUUGUGCCAAGGGAAUCCUCAAAUGGGGAGAUUCGGCACAUCUCCAGCUCUUCCAGAGUGGAAAAUCAUUCUUAAGUCAUUCUUAAAUCAUUCUUAAAUCAUUCUAAAUGAUUUAAGAAUCUGGCCCAUUGUGUCCUCAUUUUCUCUGCAAAGCAGCACAAAUACUGUAGAUGAUGGAGUGGUGAGAAGGCAGAGAACAAAAUUUCAAAGAGGAUCAAAAUAUGCCAUUUUAGCUUCUGUACAUACAAACAUGCAUAAUAUGACAUUUUGUUUAGACAGUUAUUUAAAAAGAAACUUAAAAUCUUUUUAAUUAAAGUGAAUGCAGAGGAAUAGGCUACAAAUACGAAGGCAGAAAGGUAGAAGUUGACAGCACGCAGCCUUCCAGACAAUCUUUUAUUUUUUUUCCCAGUUAUUAUGGAGUAAAAUAAAACUUUUGUUUUCCUUUGCAUUUUUUUUCCAUAAUGUUUAUGUUUGUUUUAGGUAAGAGAUUAACUGUAGGUGAGGGUUUUUUUUUUUUUUCAUGUAUCAUGUCAUGUGUCGGAAGCCCUCAUUUUACAGCUAGCGUAGGAACAGUGAAUAAAAUUAUAAGAGAGAGAGAGAGAGAGAGAUGGCCAUGUGGGAAGAGCAAACCUGAGAUGUGAAUGUGAUACUGUCUGCACUCGUACUGCCGUUAUCAUUAAAACACCGCUGCUCCAAGUCUCAUUACCUUACCCUACCUCUGCCAUUCUUCUGCUGCCUACUUCACUUUACCUCUGCUGCCUGUCCACCUAACUCGUGAAAUGCUAAACAAGUUUUGAUAUUUACCUGUUUAUGAUUAAAUUGC